rnacentral:lncRNA from 1 species
CUCGACACAGCUGCAACAGAAUUACAGCAAACAAACCUAUUGAAUAAACCCAAGAAUGUCGAUGCAACUCACUUGGUUGCACGUCUCUCUUCAAGCCAACGUCGAAGAGAGGAACCAGAGUGAAAAAGACCAUUGGACAUGCGCCAGCACAUGAACCAGAGCAGGAAAAAAGAGGUGGCGAGUGGUGGCCAUUCGCUUGGAAUCCGGCGACCGGAUUCUGGGGAGUCGCUGAUCGGCGGCGCGAGAAUAUCCUGGGGUAGGCGGUGAGGCAAAAUACUAACCCUAGAAAGGCUUACUAGGGAGGCAGUGGCUUCUCGUAAGGGAAGUUUCAGGAAACUUCUUUUUUUUUUUUUUUUUUUUUUUUUUGAAUGGAAGGCUAUGAUACCAUAUUGAGAGAUUAUAUUGUAAUUGUAUUUCUUGUAUCUCGUCAAUCGAUUACAUAGGUCUAUAUAUAAAGAAUUCUUAUGCUACCUAGCUAUUUAGGAAUACAAAUCAUAAACUAAUGAGAAAUCUAACUCCUAAUAGAACUCUAUUUACAACUAAUCCUUAACACCUCAACUAGUUUGGGACUAAAGCUUGAUUAUUGUUAUCAAAUGAUUUUAAAUUCCUCUUCCAAACUUUUUCUACAAAAAGUAUUUCAAAAUUUUUUUGGACGUAUACUUUGCUUUGCAUUGAUAUUAAUUUGGCAAGAGCGAAUAUUUGAAACAAAAGAUUCAUAUAGCUGGCCCCAACUAGUUUGGAACUAAACCUUGGUUGUUGUUGUUUGAUUAGGAUGGGGAUCCAUUUGUUGACUUCAUUAGUAAGUGGAUCCUAAAAGGAAUUGAGUGGUAUAGAAUAUGAUGCCAGAAAUAUCUUUUAAAUGCCACAUCAACAAUCCAAGACAACAUUCUAAUGUCUAACUUCCUGAAAAGUAUUCAUUCAUUGAACAAGAAAAAUAAGUAAAGACUCACCUGCAACCAAAGUACCCUCUAUUUGCAGAUAAACCAGAAGGAUGUGCUGCCUUCAGAAUGUAAUGCUUUGUUCCAUCAAUUAACCUGUGCAGCUCCAUUCUUAUAAGCAGAUCAAGUACUCGAGCCAUUUAAAAAAAAAUGCCAAGCAUUCUUCUAAAUUUAUUAAGUGAAUAGAACCCAAGUAAAUCUGGGUCAUAGUGUAAUUGAUGAUAUGAUCCUAAUUUACACUUCUGAAUCUUUGCCAUCCUGUAUUAAAUUUCAAAUUAUUCUGGCUCAAAUAAUUCCUUAACUUUAGAACCUUCAAAAGAAUGGAAAGGCAUAACUGAAGAUAAGAAAUUUGUCAAACAUAGUGGAGUAUUGUACAACAAGUUAGAAGAAAAUGAAUUAAUCUUGAUAGUUGGAAUUUGAGUUGAAAAAUGACAGUUUCACGGACAUUGAUGGCUAGGAAAACUUGAAUUAAAUAAUUGAAGUUUUAAAUUGCGUAAGUUGUAAGAAAAUCAAGGAUAAAACAUAAGUGGAGUUUUAAAGCACACUGUGGCACAGAAAGAUAUAACACAAUUAGAAAGGAUCAUACCCUGCAGAAAACUCUUUACAAACAAGCAUCACAUCAUACAGAGAAUUGCAUAAUACUCUCUAUAUUCAGUUAGUACUGAAUAUACUGAAUGAAAAUACCUGGAUUUCUCUUGAGCAGAGUUUCCCCAAAGGAGAAAAACAACUCCUUCUUUAUUCUGUGAAAUUGUUUUGAUAACAGAAUCUGUAAAUUGUUCCCAUCCUUUUUUAGCAUGAGAGUUUGCUUGAUGACUCCUAACUGAACAAAAUAAAGACAAGUUAAAAAAGCAACAUUCUGUUUUGACUAAAAUAAAUGAAGAGAAACAAGUGCUUAGAAUACAUUCUUAAGGUUGAACUGAAUUAAAAGACUAGCAGAACAGGUUCAUGUGUUAAGUUGUCCACCAAUAAGUUUUCAAACAGUAGCACCAAAAUGAAAUACUAUACAUGUACAUAUGAAAAUACAGAUAUUCAAACAUAUAUGAGAUAGUAAAAGUACAAGAAAAGAAACAUAUUUUUAGCCAUAGGAAAAUUUGACAUGCAUAUAGGGGGCGCUUGUUUUAGCUCUUGGGGGCCAAUUGAUAGCUGUUUGACCCCAGCCGGCAGGCCAACCAGUUUGUUAAUGAAAAGGAUCAGCAAUUUGUUAGUUUUUUAGUGUCCCUUCAAUUUAGAUUCUAAAAACUUCAUUCCCUGUUAGUUGAUAGCUGAUUUGAUUUUAAACAUGCAUUGCUCUCACAAAAUUUAUCAAUAAAAAGCCAUCAUUUUGUUCUGCAAAUUAAUUUUUACAUGAUCAAUUUGUUUAUAAUUCAUUGAAAAUCAGAUACAAUAUGUCGAAUAUUACUAUCUUUAUAUUUACAUUCACAAAAAAAAAAGAAUAUUUAUUACAAACAUAUACAACAACUAAUUACGAUUGCUUGAAUUAAUUUUUUAUUAUUUUUUUACAUGUAAUAUCAAAUAAUAAAUUUAACAAUAAAAGUAGCCAAUGCCAUCAUUUAGAAGAGGUAUCAUUAACAGGAGAACUCGAUUGAUUAUAAAAAUAAAUCAAAGGCUUAAUUUAGAAAUUCAAAUAAAAUUUGAAGACUUACAAUGUAACAGUUUCAUACUAAUAAAGUAAAGCCACCAAAAUGAGGUAUCAAAAUGUUAAGUCAAGCCCAAUGUUUCAAGCUUGCGUCAGUUAAUUUUCAAAAUGAACUUUAUCCCAAAUUUUAUUUUUGUGCUUUGUCUCAAGUUCAUGCAAAAUUUGAUGAAAUAACGAGGUCUAAGCCCAAACAAGAGUUUCUAGUCAUUCUUAAGUAAUUUGAUCAAAAUUUUGGCAUUGAACUAAUAUAAACAAUUUGUUUAACUCUAACAAACCCCAAUGCAAGAGGGUUCAAACCUGGACCGUCAAAUGGCUUCAGAUUUGUGAAUGAAAGUAAUUGUUGAUUCCUCUUUAUAUAGAGGCAAAUCUCUUCUCAUGUUAGUUGAGGUUUAAGAGCUCCAACAUUCCAAAUCUUUCAGAAAGUCUUCAAGUUAGACUGCCUUUUUGUUCAAAUCUCAAGUGAAAGGAAAAAGAAUAAGAGAAUAAGCUAUGAAAAGGUUUAUAGGAGGAAGCAGCAGACGACUAAAAGCAAUUAUUAAUAUCUUAAACUUUGGUUACGACUUCAACCACCACUCUCCUUUUGCUUUUCUGCUUCAAGCAUCACCAUCACCAUCACCAUCACCAUCAACUCUACCACUACCUCUUCUUCCACUGAAAAACUCAGUUGAUAGAUCCAACUCUCAACUAUAACUCACCACUUCAAGUUUCACCAUUUUUUUUCUCUCUUACAUUUAGUUUACUUCUUUUGAAUUGAUUUAGAACUAUUAUUAUGGCAGAUGUGAUGCCCAUGCCAGUUUUUUUAUGGCAUAUUCUAUACCACAUGAGCAUCAACAGACAAACAUUAAGCUGGUCCCGAAAUAAUAGUGAAGCAAUUUACAAGGUACCACAAUUUCACAGGAAAAAAAAAAAAAAAAAAAAGACACAGAGAGUGACAAAAACCUUAGGGCUUUUUUGUAUUUGUUCCUUUCUUGAAAAAAUAAGAAAUGAUGCACUUUCUCUUGAUAUUGGUUUAUUAAAAGAAAAAGUUUUGACAAAUCACAUAUUGCAUUGGUAGGUUUGAGAGUUCUUAAACAGAAGCCAAAUUUCUGUCCCACCAUGCAAAAAAUUGGAAAAUUAGCAAGUAAUGAACUCAUUUACAUAAUUUAGAAACUUUACCUGUAAGAACAGUAUUGAGCAAUAGAACACCCUGCAAUUUCCAAAAGGAAAAAAUAAAUACAUAUGUAUCAGAAUAUUUUCCUUAGAAAGAAACUAAGGUAGAAUAGGUGUUACUCUUUUUUAAUUUCUCUCUCUACAAGGAAUCAUACUUAUUAAGAGAAAAUAUUGUAGUUGUAUUUCUUGUAUCUCAUCAAUCAAUUACAUAGGAUUAUAUAUGAGGAAUUCCUCUGCUACCUAGCUAUUUAGGAAUACAAAUCAUAAAAUAAUUAGGAAUAUACUUAUGAACUAAUUAGGAAUACGUGUACUAUAUUGAUUUUCCUUAAUACUCCCCCUCAAGUUUGAGCAUAGAUGUUAAUCAUGCUCAACUUGUUACAAACUACUACUUUCAGCAAAGCAAAAUACGAUACUCAGCAACUGUACCCACUUCAUUAUAGCAAUAAAGAAUCCCAAACCAAAUAGUAGUAGCAGAAUCAAGACAACACUCUUAGAUUGUUGAAACAAAUCUCACUGAACCAGAAAACAACUCACAGGGCUGUUUCAAGCUUCCAUAAUCAAUGCCUCAAAGAGGAAGCCCAGUAGCGCAGAUAUUCAGAAACGCAGCAAAGGAAAAUCUGGCAAAUGGAGCACACCGCUGAAGGCCAAGAGCACAAUGCAACUCGCUAGGGUUGCACUGCUCUCGACAAAGGAGAAGGUUCAAAAGCAGAAUACCCGUAAAUGCAGCAAAGGUGCAGUACUAAACCCUAAUGCAAUAAGGAAUCACUAGAAAAUCACUGAAAAUUACCUAAACCAAUUGUCACAGCAAAGGAAAAAUAUGUUUCCUCAGCAAAUUAAAGCAACAACAGUUGUAGAAGACUGCUGACACAGCUGCAACAGCAUCGCAGCAAACAAAUCUAUUGAAUAAGCCCAAGAAUGAUGAUGCAACUUAUUGGGUUUCACAUCUCUCUUCAAGUCAAUGCCGGAGAGAGGAAUCGGAGUGAAAAAGACCACUGGACAUGCGCCACCGCGUGAACCAGAGCAAGAAGAAAGAGGUGGCGCGGGGGCCAUUCGCUUUGAAUCCGGCGACCGGAUUCUUGGGAGGCGCUGAUAGGCGGCUGGAGAAUAUCCUGAGGUAGGCGGUGAGGCAAAAUAUUAACCCUAGAAAGG